UGUAAAAGGGGGAAAAUCAAGAAGAAAAUUGAGCUCCUCUCUCCCAAUUCGUGGUCGAUCUCAACAGACAUGGCGGCGUACUUUGAUUUGUAUUGUCUCUCCCUAACCCUAAUCAAUCCUUCAUCUAAUCAUGGCCACCGAUACCCACCAUGGCAGGAGUGUGAGGGAAGGUUUACAGUUAAGGGGAAGGAAACUGAUGUCAUUUUGUGGUCUCUUUCUCAGGUACCCGAGCGAUGCAGAUAAGCAUCUGUUGGCAAGAAAGACCGGUCUAUCCCGAAAUCAGGUUUGUCCCUCUCCACUCUCAGCUUUCCACAAUUCACCACACUUUUACAUUGUAUCUAAGAGGGAAUCUUUACUCUGUUAAUUUUAAUGUAAUUAUAGUACAUGAUGAACGAACGGACCACAUAAGAAAAUGAAAGAUAAUCUGUUAAGGGAAUGGAAGAAAAGGGGUCAGUUGUAGGUUCAGAUAAAAUUUGCAUGGUUUUGGGUUUUUGUUGAUUUCUCUGGUUUCAUACUGACAUUUGUGGUGGCGUGGUGAGAGAUGCUGUGGGACAGUGUGUCUUGGCUUCAACAGUAACCUGGGCGAGUUCAUGUUCGACGACACCGCCGAGGUGCAGAUAAUCGAUCUCUUGCCAUCCUGAAAAGUUGGGCAAUGGGAUUUUCUCUGUCAAGCAUUUCCUUUAGAUCUUCAACUAUGGUUGCAUCAAGUUCUUCUGCCUUUGCUCCCUUUUUGAAGGAGCGCAUUCUAUUUUGGAUUUCAUUUUCUGUAUCAUGGAUAUAAAGCUGGCAGAAUUUUGGGGUUUCUCCUUCUUCAGUUGCAGAGAUUCAAUGCAGAUCUUCUAAGCGAUUGGGAAUAUGCUCCAAGUUGGACUUUGCAGCGUUCACUUCAGAUCCAAUUGAGGAGUCGUUGAUUUCCAAUAUGGUCUCUGUUACUUUGUCUGGUACUCAUCUUUAUUUGAAAAACAUGUGAAGAGCCUAUGGUUUUCAGGAGUUGUGGAGGUAGGUCCAAAUCCCUCUUAUCUCCCUAUAUUGUACAAUCAUAGAUGGAUAAAGAUUAGAAUCAUAAUUUUAACAUAAUAAGCAUUUUACGUGUCUUCAUUAUGAUUGAAAAAUGGGCAAAAUUAGUUUGUUCCUGACCUGUUCAAAGGCUGAUAAAAGAUCAUGUAAUUUCACAUGUGCUAUUUGUUCAGCAAUGUCAUCAAAUACAACAAAUAUAGUUGAAUUGGUAGCAUCUCUGACAUCAAGCUCUAAUCGAAACCUAAUAUAAAUAAUAUAGAACAUUAAUAAUUUAAUUUUCAUUUCAUUGAAUAUAUUAUAUUAGAAGUAUUGGUUACCUUGUUGUUGGAUAGUCAACAUUCUUGUGGCAGGAAUCACAACUGAACUUUGUUGAUGUGUUAGAGACCUUUCUUUUGCAAUGAGGGCAGGAAACAUAAAACCACCCGUUUUUCAGCAAGAUGUCAUUUAUAGUUGCAGCACAACAAUAGGAUGUUGAAGUCUAAGUUUUUGCAGGGUGGUUCAUUGCUUUGAAAUGGGAGGUUAUGGAUUUGUGCAGAAUUUAUGAAAUUGAGAGACAGUAUUAAUUUCAAUUAACAUUGUUAUUGAAAAAGUGUGCUCAAAAACAUUGUACACGUGAUGUAUAUAGUAUAUAGAAGAUUUCUUUGAGCAGCUGAAGGAAAUUCCGUUGGAAUAAUUUCUUUAAUGUCACUAUGUAGUAUUGUUGUCAGUUUCACAUUUGUCAUUUUCAUUAAGUGCUGUGUAGUCAGUUUUAUAUUUGUCAGUUUCAGGUUGUUGUGUAACUUUCCUUGGUUACUUGUCAGCCUCAUUGAGAAGCAUCUGUCAUCUUUGUAAUUGAAGUUGGAUUUGAUGAAACACAUACGUGUGCAAAGUGUAUUGAAAUCUCUAUUGACCACAUUGGAAACUUAAA